GGCAACAGCUCAAAUUUGAAAUCUGGCCCCCUCGGGGCCCGAGUUGUAAUUUGGAGAAGAUGCUUCGGGUGUGGCCCCGGUCUAAGUUCCUUGGAACAGGACGUCACAGAGGGUGAGAAUCCCGU
rnacentral:rRNA from 1 species